rnacentral:tRNA from 2 species
GGACCGUUAGUUUAAAAGUAGAACGCAUCCUUGACAUGGAUGUAGCAGAGGAGCGUUACCUCUACGGUCCACCA